AUUGAACGCUGGCGGCAUGCUUUACACAUGCGAGUCGAACGGCAGCGCGGGCUUCGGCCUGGCGUCGCGUUGCGGACGGGUGGGUAAUUCAUCGGAACGUGCCCAGCAGUUGGGGCUAGCCCGGCGACAGCCGGAUUAAUACCGCAUACGACCAUAGGGUGAAAGCGGGGGACCGAAAGGCCUCGCGCGAUUUGAGGGGCCGAUGCCGGAUUAGCUAGUUGGUGGGGUAAAGGCUUACCAAGGCGACGAUCCGUAGCUGGGCUGAGAGGACGACCAGCCACACUGGGACUGAGACACGGCCCAGACUCCUACGGGAGGCAGCAGUGGGGAAUUUUGGACAAUGGGGGCAACCCUGACCCAGCAAUGCCGCGUGAGGGAAGAAGGUCUUCGGGUUGUAAAACGCUUUUGUUCGGGAAGAAAACCUGUGGGCUAAUCCCCCGGGGGGAUGACGGUACCGGAAGAAUAAGCACCGGCUAACUACGUG
rnacentral:rRNA from 1 species